rnacentral:rRNA from 1 species
CAGCCGCCGCGGUAAUACGGAGGGUGCAAGCGUUAAUCGGAAUUACUGGGCGUAAAGCGCACGCAGGCGGUCUGACAAGUCAGAUGUGAAAUCCCCGGGCUUAACCUGGGAACUGCAUUUGAAACUGUCAGGCUGGAGUCUUGUAGAGGGGGGUGGAAUUCCAGGUGUAGCGGUGAAAUGCGUAGAGAUCUGGAGGAAUACCGGUGGCGAAGGCGGCCCCCUGGACAAAGACUGACGCUCAGGUGCGAAAGCGUGGGGAGCAAACAGGAUUAGAUACCCCGGUAGUCCCUGUCUCUUAUAU